CUUGGGAAGAGACUAUUGCCGAGAUGCGAAGGUUCUUAUUGGCUCCUGUUGGUCCCAGGCAGCGGCCCAGCGGGUCUAUGGGAGCCACAAGGCACUGGGCCACUGAGGUACCGGUACGGGUUGCUGCUUCUAUUUCCGCACGGAGCCAUCUGAUAGGCUGCUGAUUGAUACUAGACACGCCCCUGCGUUACCUGUGCUGGAAAUCUAUGGGAAGGGCCGCUAUACCCAGGGGUGACAUUAGGUGACGCUGGGGAAGGAUUGGGAAGAUGAAGCUGCGUCUGACUCUCGUUCUCCUGGUUCUGGUUCUGGUUCCUGCAAUCGACAUGGGCGGGGCCAAUGACUGCUCCAUCACUGAUCUGAUUGGGUUCAACAGCCUCAUUAAAUCUAUGGUGGCGUCGGCUCUGGAGAAAACUGAGAUCGACUGCAUCGAUGCCCGCGGGAAUGGAGCAUCUGCCACUUGCCCUGCAGACACGGCGGCGGUCUCCUGCGCCUGUGGGAUGGGCUGUGGCUCGUGGGACAUCCAGUCCAAAUCUACGUGCCACUGUCAGUGUGCCGGUAUGGACUGGACCACCGCCCGCUGCUGUAAGAUUCAGAGCAAACAUUAACCCUCCGAUGGCAUCUGUUCUUUUGUUCCUGGGCAAAUAAAGAUUCUGUCCCUUAAUCCUCCA